CGCGUAGGCUGCUGCGCAAGUCGAACGUGAAAUCCCUCAGCUCAACUGAGGAAUUGCGUCCGAAACUGCGUGGCUCGAGUCCCGGAGAGGGUAGCGGAAUUCCCAGUGUAGCGGUGAAAUGCGUAGAUAUUGGGAGGAACACCAGUGGCGAAGGCGGCUACCUGGACGGGUACUGACGCUGAGGCGCGAAAGCUAGGGGAGCAAACAGGAUUAGAUACCCUGGUAGUCCUAGCUGUAAACGAUGGGCACUUGGUGUUGCGGGUAUCGACCCCUGCAGUGCCGAAGCUAACGCAUUAAGUGCCCCGCCUGGGGAGUACGGUCGCAAGGCUGAA
rnacentral:rRNA from 1 species